GACGAACGCUGGCGGCGCGCCUAAUACAUGCAAGUCGAACGCUGAAGGAGGAGCUUGCUCUUCUGGAUGAGUUGCGAACGGGUGAGUAACGCGUAGGUAACCUGCCUGGUAGCGGGGGAUAACUAUUGGAAACGAUAGCUAAUACCGCAUAAGAGUAGAUGUUGCAUGACAUUUACUUAAAAGGUGCAAUUGCAUCACUACCAGAUGGACCUGCGUUGUAUUAGCUAGUUGGUGGGGUAACGGCUUACCAAGGCGACGAUACAUAGCCGACCUGAGAGGGUGAUCGGCCACACUGGGACUGAGACACGGCCCAGACUCCUACGGGAGGCAGCAGGAGGGAAUCUUCGGCAAUGGACGGAAGUCUGACCGAGCAACGCCGCGGGAGUGAAGAAGGGUUUCGGAUCGUAAAGCUCUGUUGUAAGAGAAGAACGAGUGUGAGAGUGGAAAGUUCACACUGUGACGGUAGCUUACCAGAAAGGGACGGCUAACUACGUG
rnacentral:rRNA from 1 species